rnacentral:rRNA from 1 species
AUUGAACGCUGGCGGCAGGCCUAACACAUGCAAGUCGAGCGAGCGGCGGACGGGUGAGUAAUGUAUGGGGACUGCCCGUUAGAGGGGGAUAACUACUGGAAACGGUAGCUCAUCCCGCAUACUAUCGGAUACCCCUUAUGGGAUUAGCUAGUAGGUGAGGUAAUGGCUCACCUAGGCGACGAUCCCUAGCUGUUCUGAGAGGAUGAUCAGCGACACGGGGACGGAGACACGGCCCAGAGUACUACGGAGGAAGCAGGGGGGAAGAGUGCACAAUGGGGGAAAGGCGGAUGCAGCCAUGCCGCGUGUAUGAAGAAGGCCAUAGGGUUGUAAAGUACGUUCAGUCGGGAGGCGUUACCGACAGAAGAAGCACCGGCUAACUCCGUGCCAGCAGCCGCGGUAAUUC